CCCUUAGAUGUUCUGGGCUGCACGCGCGCUACACUGAUGCGCUCAACGAGUUUUAACCUUGCCUGGAAAGGUUGGGUAAUCUUUUUAAAACGCAUCGUGAUGGGGAUAGAUGGUUGCAAUUGUCGAUCUUGAACGAGGAAUUCCUAGUAAGCGCGAGUCAUCAGCUCGCGCUGAUUACGUCCCUGCCCUUUGUACACACCGCCCGUCGCUACUACCGAUUGGAUGGCUUAGCGAGAAUUUUGGAUCGGAGCCCGGGUGGUCGGCAACGGUCGCCCGGGAGAUCUGAGAAAUCAUUCCAGCUUGGUCAUCUAGAGGAAGUAAAAGUCGUAACA
rnacentral:rRNA from 1 species